GAGAGUUAGUGGGAUCAGCUGGGUUGCUCGUCCACUGAAAUUCAUGGCGGGGGAAGGACCUGUAGGCCGUGGACCUGAAAACGGCAACUCUCAUCAACAGUUGGGAAUGGAACAAAGAAAAACUUCGUGGAUUGUUGCAAAAAUGAAGGCUCUGCGGUAUCCAGUCACCCUGUCGGCCUGGGGAAUCCUGAGCCAGUCAAGACACUCCAAAGAAUCGCCUACUCCAAUUCCAACCGGCUAGGAUAAGACAUGGAAAUCGAAACACAGAGAGAGUAAGCGGCUUGCCCAAGGUCACGCAGCUGGCCGCCGACAGAGCCAGGAUGAG